rnacentral:rRNA from 1 species
UACGUAGGGUGCAAGCGUUAAUCGGAAUUACUGGGCGUAAAGCGUGCGCAGGCGGUUCGUUGUGUCGGCGGUGAAAGCCCCGGGCUCAACCUGGGAAUGGCCGUUGAAACUGGCGAACUGGAGUGUGGCAGAGGGGGGUGGAAUUCCGCGUGUAGCAGUGAAAUGCGUAGAGAUGCGGAGGAACACCGAUGGCGAAGGCAGCCCCCUGGGCUAACACUGACGCUCAGGCACGAAAGCCAGGGGAGCAAACGGG